AGUGAACGCUGGCGGUAGGCCUAACACAUGCAAGUCGAACGGCAGCACAGUAAGAGCUUGCUCUUACGGGUGGCGAGUGGCGGACGGGUGAGGAAUACAUCGGAAUCUACUUUUUCGUGGGGGAUAACGUAGGGAAACUUACGCUAAUACCGCAUACGACCUACGGGUGAAAGCAGGGGAUCUUCGGACCUUGCGCGUUUGAAUGAGCCGAUGUCGGAUUAGCUAGUUGGCGGGGUAAAGGCCCACCAAGGCGACGAUCCGUAGCUGGUCUGAGAGGAUGAUCAGCCACACUGGAACUGAGACACGGUCCAGACUCCUACGGGAGGCAGCAGUGGGGAAUAUUGGACAAUGGGCGCAAGCCUGAUCCAGCCAUACCGAGUGGGUGAAGAAGGCCUUCGGGUUGUAAAGCCCUUUUGUUGGGAAAGAAAAGCAGCAGGUUAAUACCCCGCUGUUCUGACGGUACCCAAAGAAUAAGCACCGGCUAACUUCGUG
rnacentral:rRNA from 1 species